GAGUUUGAUCAUGGCUCAGAACGAACGCUGGCGGCAGGCCUAACACAUGCAAGUCGAGCGCAGUCCUUCGGGACCGAGCGGCGGACGGGUUAGUAACGCGUGGGAAUAUACCCAGUUCUAUGGAAUAGCCUUUGGAAACGAAGAGUAAUACCAUAUACGCCCUUCGGGGGAAAGAUUUAUCGGAAUUGGAUUAGCCCGCGUAAGAUUAGAUAGUUGGUGAGGUAACGGCUCACCAAGUCAACGAUCUUUAGCUGGUUUGAGAGGAUGAUCAGCAACGCUGGGACUGAGACACGGCCCAGACUCCUACGGGAGGCAGCAGUGGGGAAUCUUAGACAAUGGGCGCAAGCCUGAUCUAGCCAUGCCGCGUGAGUGAAGAAGGCCCUAGGGUCGUAAAGCUCUUUCGCCAGGGAUGAUAAUGACAGUACCUGGUAAAGAAACCCCGGCUAACUCCGUGCCAGCAGCCGCGGUAAUACGGAGGGGGUUAGCGUUGUUCGGAAUUACUGGGCGUAAAGCGUACGUAGGCGGAUUAGUAAGUUAGGGGUGAAAUCCCGAGGCUCAACCUCGGAACUGCCUCUAAAACUGCUAGUCUUGAGUUCGAGAGAGGUGAGUGGAUUUCCUAGUGUAGAGGUGAAAUUCGUAGAUAUUAGGAGGAACACCAGUGGCGAAGGCGGCUCACUGGCUCGAUACUGACGCUGAGGUACGAAAGUGUGGGGAGCAAACAGGAUUAGAUACCCUGGUAGUCCACACCGUAAACGAUGAAUGCCAGACGUCGGAUAGCAUGCUAUUCGGUGUCACACCUAACGGAUUAAGCAUUCCGCCUGGGGAG
rnacentral:rRNA from 1 species